UACGGGGGGGAGCAAGCGUUGUUCGGAUUUACUGGGCGUAAAGCGCACGUAGGCGGCGCAGCAAGUCAGGGGUGAAAUCCCGGAGCUCAACUCCGGAACUGCCUUUGAAACUGCAGUGCUAGAAUCCUGGAGAGGCGAGUGGAAUUCCGAGUGUAGAGGUGAAAUGCGCAGAUAUCAGGAGGAACACCGGUGGCGAAGGCGGGUCUCUGGGCAACAACUGACGCUGAGGAGCGAAAGCGUGGGGAGCGAACAGG
rnacentral:rRNA from 1 species